rnacentral:lncRNA from 1 species
GGAACAUGAAGUGGGGCUCCAUUUCCCUCCUGCCCAUCCCUGCUCACCCCUUCUCUUCCCUGCUGCAUCUUGAACCCGAAGUGAUCCUCAGAUCUAUCUUGUCUCAGCCUGAGCUGCGUUUUGGCAGCAAUGUGUAUAUGUAGCAGAUGCAAAUUGCCUCUAAUUAGGGGUAGAACGCAGGACUGGAUUAAUGAUUUGUGGAUUCUUGCCACACUCUUAACAACCUUACCAACACCCUUUGGGCUGUAAUCGUGUAGGAAGAAUCCACCCAAGUGCAGCCUCAUUUGUGAUGCCCUGUCUGGGGAGAGCUUCCUCUCCCUGCCCCUGGCCCAGGUCAUCAGCAGGCACCACCAGCAGCGCAGAAUUUGGCAAGCCAGGACGUGCUCCUGAGAUCACUUGUGAAAAUGGCUCUGUGAGUGCCAUGUACAGAAUUCUGGAAGCGAGGUAGGAGGAGGAACAGGAUAAAAAAGGCUUUUCCUCCCCUGGUGCUGUCUGGGCAGGCACUGCCCCUCAGCCCUGGAGUCCCU